rnacentral:tRNA from 1 species
GUUCAGGUAGUUUAUUUAAUAGAAUAAUAAUUUGUGAUGUUAUAGGUGUGUAAUUACUCUGGAUC